ACCAAUAGAAACCCGUGUUAAAGUGACUCUCAAGUGGGUCUUUCUAGGACUACAAUUUAUUAGUUCUGCGACGCAGUGUAAACAAAACGCGUUGGAUUGGCACUGUGCAAUAGAGCAGAGAUCUGUAUAUAAUGACGAGAUGCUCAUAUAUCCGCCCUAACAAUGGGAGUAGUUGUCCCAUAGGCGAAAAGGCAGGCUACAAGUUUAGCUCCAAAAUAAGCCCAUAAAAACGCAUUAGGCUUAUUUUGGACAGAUUUUUUUGGUCGAUAGUGAAACCAGUCGCUUCGCCUCGUCCACCCUGGAUAGAGAAGAGGCAAUGCAACAAUGGGUUAUUCUUCAGAGGUUGCCUUUUUGUCACUCGGGGAAAAGGAAGAUAAAAGGGUCAUUUAUAAGCAAAUGUUCUGGACACAAUGCUGUAUCCUGGAGUGAAGUCUAGUUCUUCAGAUAUAAGUAAUUCCCCCAUCACCAAUAUUAUUGUUAGCCUCUUUAUAGGAGUAUUAUGUUCUGUAUAUUCUAUUAGCCUAUAGACAUUUUACAAAGGCCUACAUCACUUUUAAUGAUGUAGGCCUGUAACAUGCACGUGAUGGAAAUGCACAAUAAUGUCUGUGACUGAUCAUUAAAUUAUUCAUCGAGUUAUUACAAAUUAAUUGGAAUCCAUUAUAGCGUCAGACUACACUUCUGGAUUUGAAGUCUACCAUUAGAAGAAAUCAAUACAUUUAAACACUGCGUAUGAACUACAAAACAGAACAGUACAGUUCAGGCCUGCUGUAAAGCGCUAUUCAAGGUUUUAGGAUUUUCAUGAGCUGUUAGUGGCUCCUGGUGGUCAAAUAACAGCCUCAUCUUGUUUACUUACAACCGUUUUGUCCAGAUGAAAACAAAUACACUAUACAAUGUUGUAACUAAGUUGCACGUGAAACACUGGUUACAGUGUUCAUCGUAACCUCAUAUUUAAAAAAAUAAAUAAACAUAAAUAACCUCAUAUUUCUACUUCAAUUGAAAGGAUCAGAUGAAGACGAAUUUGGAAUAGAUUGUUCUUCAUGAGACAAAAAAGGCAUCAUCGUGUGAACACGGUGCAACAUUAUGGCGAUCAGCGUGCAGAGACAGAAAAUAAUGCACCUUCUUUCAGUGGGAAGAUGAAAAGGUGUCUGAGGCCAGGCUUAGGGCCCAAGAGGAGGUGAACCGGUCAAAGAUGCCAACUUCCACCAAUCAGGAGUACUGCUCCAGGUAAAUAUCCUACACCUGUCCAGACGUGUAGUGGGACUCUAUCAUCGGAAGUAUUCCGUUCCAUGUUAGAGGUGGAACAGUAUAGUUCCGUGGAUAACAGUCCUACUGUAAGCUCCUGAGUGGCGCAG